UAAACGAAUUCGCCCUUACAGUUUGAUCCUGGCUCAGAUUGAACGCUGGCGGCAGGCCUAACACAUGCAAGUCGAACGGAAAGGCCCUGCUUUUGUGGGGUGCUCGAGUGGCGAACGGGUGAGUAACACGUGAGUAACCUGCCCUUGACUUUGGGAUAACUUCAGGAAACUGGGGCCAAUACCGGAUAGGAGCUCCUGCUGCAUGGUGGGGGUUGGAAAGUUUCGGCGGUUGGGGAUGGACUCGCGGCUUAUCAGCUUGUUGGUGGGGUAGUGGCUUACCAAGGCUUUGACGGGUAGCCGGCCUGAGAGGGUGACCGGCCACAUUGGGACUGAGAUACGGCCCAGACUCCUACGGGAGGCAGCAGUGGGGAAUAUUGCGCAAUGGGCGGAAGCCUGAUGCAGCAACGCCGCGUGCGGGAUGACGGCCUUCGGGUUGUAAACCGCUUUCGCCUGUGACGAAGCGUGAGUGACGGUAAUGGGUAAAGAAGCACCGGCUAACUACGUGCCAGCAGCCGCGGUGAUACGUAGGGUGCGAGCGUUGUCCGGAUUUAUUGGGCGUAAAGGGCUCGUAGGUGGUUGAUCGCGUCGGAAGUGUAAUCUUGGGGCUUAACCCUGAGCGUGCUUUCGAUACGGGUUGACUUGAGGAAGGUAGGGGAGAAUGGAAUUCCUGG
rnacentral:rRNA from 1 species